rnacentral:rRNA from 1 species
AGAGUUUGAUCCUGGCUCAGACGAACGCUGGCGGCGUGCUUAACACAUGCAAGUCGAACGAUGAAGCCCUUCGGGGUGGAUUAGUGGCGAACGGGUGAGUAACACGUGGGCAAUCUGCCCUUCACUCUGGGACAAGCCCUGGAAACGGGGUCUAAUACCGGAUAACACUCCUGCCUGCAUGGGUGGGGGUUAAAAGCUCCGGCGGUGAAGGAUGAGCCCGCGGCCUAUCAGCUUGUUGGUGGGGUAAUGGCCUACCAAGGCGACGACGGGUAGCCGGCCUGAGAGGGCGACCGGCCACACUGGGACUGAGACACGGCCCAGACUCCUACGGGAGGCAGCAGUGGGGAAUAUUGCACAAUGGGCGAAAGCCUGAUGCAGCGACGCCGCGUGAGGGAUGACGGCCUUCGGGUUGUAAACCUCUUUCAGCAGGGAAGAAGCGAAAGUGACGGUACCUGCAGAAGAAGCGCCGGCUAACUACGUGCCAGCAGCCGCGGUAAUACGUAGGGCGCAAGCGUUGUCCGGAAUUAUUGGGCGUAAAGAGCUCGUAGGCGGCUUGUCGCGUCGGAUGUGAAAGCCCGGGGCUUAACCCCGGGUCUGCAUUCGAUACGGGCAGGCUAGAGUGUGGUAGGGGAGAUCGGAAUUCCUGGUGUAGCGGUGAAAUGCGCAGAUAUCAGGAGGAACACCGGUGGCGAAGGCGGAUCUCUGGGCCAUUACUGACGCUGAGGAGCGAAAGCGUGGGGAGCGAACAGGAUUAGAUACCCUGGUAGUCCACGCCGUAAACGUUGGGAACUAGGUGUUGGCGACAUUCCACGUCGUCGGUGCCGCAGCUAACGCAUUAAGUCCCCGCCUGGGGAGUACGGCCGCAAGGCUAAAACUCAAAGGAAUUGACG